UUUCUUUUCAAGCUUUAGCACCCAACAUGAAGCAACCGAUGGACAUUGCUUGGCCUCAAAAUCAAACCUACAACUGUAUGUUGAAUUUUCUGCAUUUCCAACUUGAGAGCCCUGGUUAAUAUUUUUCUCUCCUCUUAGCCCAUCACAUAGUUCACUAACAUGUUUUUCUCCUAUUUCUAGAGAUACAAAUUUGUCUUCAAAAGACACCAAUGGAAGCAAGCUGAUUUUUAAUGGUUCACUGAACUUUGUUCCAAAUGCAUAGCAGGCUGCCCCACCACCAAUCACAACGAGAUCAUUACCCACAAUAUUGGUUGUACUGCGCACAAGCAAUUCUUUGCCAAUAUAAUCAAGACUCACAUGCUUCCAUUUAUGAAUUCGAAGAUCUAGUAAUGCCAACUCUUUGGAAUGUUGUCUGAUAGGACAACCCCCAAUAACUCCAAGAAAAUUAUUGUAAGCAAACAAUGAAUGGGAGAAUCUUGGAUGAGGGCUUCCUCCAGAUGUCUUUUCUUUCUUCCAAAUAUGUGUUUGAACAUCAAAACUAUAUAAAUCUCCCAAAGCCUUUUCUCCAUUGUACCCUCCAAACAUGAAUAAUGUAGACCCAUAUGCCACCAUUGAGAGAGAAUGACGGGCACAUGGCUGUUCCCCACCAACUAAAACCUCUUCCCACUGCAAAUUUCCAGUGUUGAGGACAUGCAUGGAUGAAAAUAUUGUAUCAUUGUUAAGUCCACCAAAUACAUAUAUGUUUGUGCCAACAACUGCUGCAGCAUGCCGGUGCCUAGGAGGGAAAACACUGCCAGUACAUUCAGAUAACCUCCAUUCAUUACUAGCAGUAUUAAGAAUCCAUACAUCAUCCAAAAUGUUCAAGGGAUCAGACCUGCCUCCAAUGACAAAUAAAAAGUCACCAACCAAAGAAGCCGUGUGACUCAAUCGCGGAGAUGGUGCCCCCACAGCAUCAAUUGCCUUUAAUGUUCCAUUUAAUGGAUCAAGCAGCAAAGUAUCAUUUCUUCGUGCAUGUCUUCCCAUGCCUCCAAAACCACCAAAUACAAGAAUACCCUUGCUAUUUUUGUGAUCCAGUGUACAAGCAGAAUGACCCCAAAGGAAUAGUUUCUCCAAAGGUUCACCAACAAUUACUAUUUUAACAAUAGAUAAACCGCAAUCAGAAACUCCUCCUGUCCUGCCAAUGAUUCAAAGACUAAAACUUGUGUCACAUCAAAAGGAAAGGUUUCCAAUAUGGGUAUCCUCAUUUGCACUCUCCAAGUUAUCACUAUCAGCAGCCCCAUCAUGUAUAUCAUUAAAAGUAUGAACACCAUUCUCGGAAACCGAGGAACCCACGAACCCAUUUGCCCUCAAAGCUCUCAGAAAACCAUGGGUUCUCUUUCCGUUAGCUUCCAUUUUCUCAUUAGCUACCUCCACAAGAAACCUCACAUAUUCGGGCGAUACCAGAAGCUUAUCAGUGUCACCCAGCGGCACCUCCAUUCUUAUCGAACAUCGAAUACCAACAAUCACUCUCUUAUUAUUAGCACUAGUAAUCCCAGAUUCCCUGAACCCGGAAGAUAUCGCCAAGGAAACUAAAAACUGGGCAGCUUCAACAUCUCUACACUCAACAGCAACAAUCAAGGGCUCAAACCGGAAAACCAGCUCGGAUGAUUGAGUAGGUAACUUGGACGGAAAAAGAAGGGAGAGGACGGAAUCGGGAUUUGCCGGGUCGUGGGAAAUAAAGAGCCAGGAGCCACCGCGUGCCUUCUUCUUACUGGGAGGGGUUGGUGUAAGCUGGGUGGGUUUGGGUUGGCCGAGGAUGGAGAUGCGGCCGGAGCAAGAACUGGUGGUGAAAUAAGAAGGGUGGGAAUUGAGAGAGUUAAGGAGUGGGAUUAUGGGUGCGUCUAAGGUCCCUUUGGGCGAUUUGUCAGCUUCCGAUGAUCCCAGUGAUGAAAGCAUCGCCGCUUUUCUCUUCUGGAACUCCAUGCCUCUCUCUCCCUCUCUGUGCUGCUGUGUACAGAGUAAAAACCCUGAGCAAGGCAAAGAGAGACCAGAGGGGUUUUGCACCCCGAAAG
rnacentral:misc_RNA from 1 species